rnacentral:lncRNA from 1 species
GAAAUAAUUUUCAUUAAGAAUUAUUAUAAUUAAUAUCUUGGUAAUAGUGUAAACCACUUUUUAUAUGAAGUGCAAGCAAAUUACAAAUGGGUAAAAAAAAAAGUGUGUUCAAAUCUGGUAAAUAACAGGUUAUGGUACCACUAAAUGCUUAUUUCAAUGAGUGGUUCAUAAAAGCAAAAUCUAAGGUACAAUGUACUUUUCAAAUUAAGAGGUACAUCUAAUUUUGCCUCUGAAAUCAGAGGUUCAUUGUGCCUUUUAUUUUUAAAGGUACGUUGUGCCCUUAAAAUUCAGAGGCACAAACGAUCCAAAUGUGCCUCUGAAAUCAGAGGUACAUUGUGUCUUUCAUUUUUAAAGGCACGUUGUGCCCUUAAAGUUCAGAGGCACAAACGAUCCAAAUGUGCCUCUGAAAUCAGAGGUACAUUGUGCCUUUCAUUUUUAAAGGCACGUUGUGCCCUUAAAAUUCAGAGGCACAAGCGAUCCAAAUGUGCCUCUGAAAUCAGCGGUACAGUUUUUAGAGUGUAUAAAGUGGAUCUCGAGACACAACAUACUUUUACCAUUUGGGAAUAAACUUUCUCAGUGACGAAUUACGAUGUGAAUUAUACUCGAACGAGGACUGGAUAGUUUUUGUCAGCGGAAAUUGUACGACUUAGUUAUCGCUGAAACUUGGACCGGAAUAACUAUGAUUGGAGUUUUUAGUCCAUUUUAGUGGUUAGUGGAGUAUUAAACAUAAUUAUGACCGUUUGAAAUACAUUAUAUUUUGGAUAUGAGGAAGGUAUAUUAAUCCCAGAAAAAUAAAUAAAAUCGCUUAGAAAAAAUUUAUUUAUUAUACAAGUCUUAUUAUAAUGAACACGACUACAUUCAAAAAGUAUAAAAUAAAGAAGGAAAGUCCAUCAAAGGGAUCAAAAGAUUCAAUCUCCUCACAUCAGGAAUUUUGAUAAGAUAAAAAUUCAACGGUUGGGACUGAGAGGCCGAAGCCCUCUAGUCAAAUUAAAAGUAAAGCGAAUUGUUCCGAACUGAUAGUUAGAAGCAUGGUAAAAGAUCAAUGACUGGCGAUUGAUCAAAAGAUAAAACAGCCAAAAACAAAGCCAACCCUCCAUAAUCAAUAUUACAUUUGAAAAUAAUUUGGUGAAAGCUAAUAGCCAAAAAUACUGAGAGAAUUAGUAUAAAAAUGUAACUGAAACAUUUCUGUAAUAAGGAACAAAGAAUAAAGAGCUAUAAGUAUAUUUUGUUUUCGAUUUAGACGCGACAGUCAAUUAAUGUGUUUCAUAUUUGUAUUGAAAUUAAAAGUUAGGCAUUACAUUGAUUUUUACCUUAAACUUCUUUCAUAUUAAAACCAUACUUAAACAUUAAAACACUUAAAAAAGUAAUGGGUCACUCCGCUCUAAACACUCUUGUGAUCUUAGUUAAUGGUUAGAAUAGUGAUCAUAAUGAAACGUAGAAGACUUGACUAAAAUCAUAUUUGAACAAAGAAGAUAGCAAUCAGCUGGAGUUGCGAUUUCACAAUAAUGACGAAUCGAAGUUUUAUUUAUACAAAUAAUUGUUAAAAAAUUAAACCAAGUAUGGAGAAUAAUCGAAAAUGGUUUGAGAGAAGGAAGGAAAAGUUAACGUAAUAUACACAAAUCUGUGUGGCAAAAAUUAUAAGUUGAACUGCUAUUUUUAUCCAUUAAUGUAUAGGGUAAAGACAUUGAAAUUCAAUUUUUUCAGCAGAAUUCAAAGAAAAAAGGAUAUUUAUAUUUUCACAGUUUGUGAUAAUAUUGGUAGGAACGAUAUGUUUCUGUAAAAGGGACUGUCGCGCAAAAUUACAGUUUUUCUGUCAUUGUUAGUAAAUAUUGUUAUUAUUACCUUUUUCAGAUACCACUAGACUGUUUUAGAAGUAAAUUUUUUUAAAAAUAUUACGGAUAAAGAAGUGAAACGAAGAACAUGUACAUGUAUUUUUGGAAUUAAAAAACUGAGUUCUUCUCUGUGUUGCCUUUGCUUA